AGUGGAUCACCAGCCUUUCAACAACCGAUUCUAUCGUCGGAGAAGAAGCCUCCGACGACACAGACGCGAAACGAUCCCGGUAAGUUCCUCUUUUUCUUUCUUUUUCUUGUUAUUUUCGUAUAAAAUAAAAAAUAAAAAAUAAAAAUAAAAGUAGAAUCGGCCCGAUUUGAAACCAAAAUAGAAGUAAAAUCACCUUCAAAGUUUCUUUCUUUUUUAUUUCCAAUCUUUUCAUACAAUAUCCCCCCUUACAUUGUUUGAUUUUGGGCUUAUAUAACCGAAAGAAAAUACAUUUAUUUUUACUGUCUCUGCUCUUUUGUGCUGCUUGUUUCUUCUUUGCGUGCUUGUUUGCAAGUCUUUGGCGAAGGCAGAGGAGUGGCUUGCCGUUUUGGUGCAAGGCUGGCUGGCGGUGGCAGACCUCGGGCGACGAGUACGCUGGAGGCAUAUGGGCAGCAAGCUGCGGCGCGAAGAAAGGAGAGAACCUUAGGGUUCCCUGAUGCUGUUUAAAUUUGGGCCCUAUUAAGCCAUUUAGGGUUUUGGAUUUGGGCCGCUUGGGUUUGUUUGUAAUUUGGACUUUUUUG
rnacentral:lncRNA from 1 species